GCGCAGCAGUCGAGAAACUCCGCAAUACACGAAAGUGUGACGGGCCAUCCCGAGUGCCGUCCGCUGAGGACGGCUUUUCCCCAGUGUACACAGCUGGGGGAAUAAGGAGAGGGCAAGCCUGGUGUCAGCCGCCGCGGUAACACCAGCUCUCCGAGUGGUGGGGACGCUUAUUGGGCCUAAAGCAUCCGUAGCCGGCUGGGCAAGUUCUCCGUUAAAUCCAACGAUUCAAUCGUUGGGCUGCGGGGGAUACUGUCCAGCUUGGGGGCGGGAGAGGCCGACGGUAUUCCCGGGGUAGGGGUGAAAUCCUAUAAUCCCGGGAGGACCACCAGUGGCGAAGGCUGUCGGCUAGAACGCGCCCGACGGUGAGGGAUGAAAAGCUGGGGGAGCGAACCGGAUUAGAUACCCCUGUAGU
rnacentral:rRNA from 1 species